GUUUAAGGGUGAGGCGUUAGCCAGUGUGAGUGAGGUCGACUGAACUUGCUGUUAGCUAGACCGCUAUUAGCUUCUUCUCCAGAGCUUACAUUACCAGCAAUAUAUGUUUUUUUUUCACUCUAAGUUGUGAGUAGAUUUAGUAGGCAGUGAAAACUGAAGAAAAGGACAUGGCUCCCAAGAAGCAGAAGGGAGGUGAUGGACAGCAGCCACCACCACUGAUUGGACGGUUUGGGACUUCUUUGAAAAUAGGAAUCGUCGGAUUGCCCAAUGUAGGGAAGUCAACCUUUUUCAACGUACUGACAAAGAGUCAAGCUGCAGCUGAGAAUUUCCCCUUCUGCACCAUUGACCCAAAUGAAAGCCGAGUGCCCAUUCCAGAUGAACGCUACGAUUUCCUGUGCCAAUUCCACAAGCCUGUCAGCAAGGUGCCGGCCUUCCUGAACGUGGUAGACAUAGCAGGACUGGUGAAGGGAGCUCACGCUGGCCAGGGUCUGGGCAACGCCUUCCUGUCCCAUAUCAGUGCCUGCGAUGGCAUCUUCCACAUGACACGUGCAUUUGAGGAUGAGGACAUUGUCCAUGUGGAGGGGAACGUGGACCCAGUGAGGGACAUUGAGAUCAUCCAUGAGGAGCUGAGGCUGAAGGAUGAGGAGAUGAUCGGGCCCAUUAUGGAGAAGCUGGAGAAGGUGGCCGUGAGGGGAAGCGACAAGAAACUCAAACCUGAAUACGACGUAAUGCUCAAAAUCAAGAACUGGGUCGCGGAUGAAAAGAAACAUGUCCGCUACUGUCGCGAUUGGACUGAGAAGGAGAUCGAAGUGUUGAACAAAUACUUGUUUUUGACAUCCAAGCCAAUGAUUUACCUCAUUAACCUCUCAGAGAAAGACUACAUCAGAAGAAAGAACAAAUGGUUGGUGAAAAUCAAGGAGUGGGUGGACAGUCAUGACCCCGGGGGCGCUGGUCAUCCCCUUCAGCGGAGGAGUGGAGAGUGUCCUGCAGGACAUGAGUGAAGAGGAGAUUCAGAAGUACUGCACCGAGCACAAGGCUCAGAGCGUUCUGACAAGGAUCAUCAAGGCUGGCUAUGGAGCCCUACAGUUGGAGUACUUCUUCACAGCUGGACCAGACGAGGUCCGUGCGUGGACCAUCCGGAAAGGAACCAAGGCUCCACAGGCAGCCGGCAAGAUCCACACGGACUUUGAGAAGGGCUUCAUUAUGGCUGAAGUAAUGAAAUUUGAGGAUUUUAAAGAGGGAGGCAGUGAGAACGCUGUCAAGGCAUCGGGGAAAUACAGACAACAGGGGAAAACCUACAUUGUGGAGGACGGAGACGUCAUCUUUUUCAAAUUCAACACGCCGAACCAGCCCAAGACUAAGAAGUGACUCCGUCACAGUCUGUUGGCUACCAGAAUGGACUGUGCCGUUAGAUAAUUCCUCUUCUUUGUUUUAGACAGAAUGAAGCUGGAGAUUGUGAUUGAUACCUGCCAGGUCGGCUCAGUCCUACCUACUGCCCACUCUGCCACAUUAUCCCUGUUUGUUUUUGGUUCAGGAGAAUUCCAUACAGUCCCCCUUGCCAAAGAAAAGGUCCACUAAACGUUGACAGCUUUUGGUAGGAGCAUUUGAAGAAGCGUAUUACUCUCUUGAUACUUCAUUAAUCUCCAUCACUGGUGCCAGGCCUGACACAGCUGACAGCAGGGACAAUGCGACCUGCUCCUCUCCUCUUUCCGGAGAUAAUGCAUGUUUUACAGUAGCCCAGAUGUCUAUACUCAAUAAAACAUUUGACAAAACCA